rnacentral:lncRNA from 1 species
GAGGGAAUGUUGGGGUCAUGUCUAACCCUGAGGGGAAGGACGUUUCGAGAACCCUCUAAAAUCACCCGCAAGAGGAAGAGAUUGCUAGCGUGAACUCAAGCGGGGAAGAAAUGUUUGAUGUGUAUUCGUUGUGAUAUGACGCAUUUCAUGAAAGCAUGAAAUAAAAGAAAGAAUGAAAUAAAAAUAAAAUAAAUAAUGAAUAAUAAAAUGAAAUCAUAAUUAAUGAACUGUUUUCUCUGUUUCUACUCACUGGGCUCUUGUAGCUCACCCCAUUCCCUUAACCCCAGUUUUGCAGGGCCAGAGUAAGUAAGCCAGAGUAAGUCAGAUAGAGCUAUGGGAAAGAAGAGGUUCAAGCAUGGGUUGCCAUGUUUGGUUGUAAUAGCUUAGCUGUGUUUCGUUUAUGUUUGAGUAAGGCUUGAUGUGUA